UGGGUUCAGCCAAGUUUGGCGGCAUGCUUAUAACAGCAUGCGUUGCUGGUGCAAAUCCAGCCGACCCAACCA
rnacentral:tRNA from 2 species